AGAACCGCGGACGGUGGCUCGCGAGGAACUCGGUGCGCUCUGAGGACUUGGAGAGAGAGAAAAAAAAAAAGAAAAAAAGGAAAGGAAAGAAAACACCCCUACCUGACAAAUCAUCGAGGGAAAAAAGGGGGACAGGACCUCUUUGACGCGCUUCCACCUCUCCAGAAGCGUGCAGAGGCGCGCGGCUCGUGCCGUCCAUCCUGCUGUCGGUGAACUGUGUGUGUGCGGGAUUGUACAGGAGAUGGCCACGCGCGCGCGCAGAGGCCCUUCACGCGACCCAGUUAAUAAUGUCAGUGAGGUGUUCAUCCACGGCUGCUGAGCGAGGCCGGUUAGUGAGCCGCUCCUCUGACCCCUCCCCGGCAGCGUCUCACUGGAACAGUCCGGUUCUAAAGGCCGAGCGCUCCUCUCUGACCGACCUCAUCUCCAAAACAUCCAAAUAUAGGUGCUUUUUGCUACAUCUGGACGACGCGGACGCACCACCUCUCUGACCCGCCUCACGCUCUCCCCACUGUCCGUGAGCUUAAAAAGAUGUUAGACGAUGGAAUAACAGAGAUAAGGCCCGGUGCGUUUGUACUGACGCUGAUUCCGUUCGGCGCAGUUUCCAAUCGCCCCCCAGGGGGGAAAGUGGGCGGGCGGCCGGGCGGCCGGGCGCGUUGCAUCUGUUUCAUUUAACCGGCGCUGCAAGAGCGAGAUCACGAGGAGCCGCUAAGAUAUCUUCCAAUAACAAAGUCUCAGGGCUAUAAAAAUCAAUCAAGGCCCCGGCCAAAAUCAGUGUGCAAUGCCCCGGUGGAAAACGCAUUACGGGCCAGACGACACUUUUAUGGGAGGCCCAGCGGGGGGGCUGCGGUCAAGAUAAAAACACGGGGUCAGAGCUGCACGCCUCUACCUGUUGGCUUAAUCACCCACCGUAGCAGGUUGCCAGACCAUAUUAGCCGGCUGCGCUAUUGUGCUAAGUGCAGACUUUAAAGUGGGGUCAGAGGUCACGUACAGACCUCAUGUGCUGUUUUUAAAACUUUCCAGCUCUGAAGUUUGACUGAGGUGACAUCCUCAUCCUCAAGGCCAGGUUUGAAGCGACCGCUACUACUGACCCUCAGAGCAAGUGGAAGUGGAUUCUGCCAAGAACACGGAUACACACACAUACUGUACAGUAUAUACAGAUGCAGAGGCAAAAAGUACCCUGACGAUCACACACACACACACACACACACGCACACUCUGGAGAAGCGAGCCGUCAGCCAUCACUGUCAUAAAUCUCCCGUUCUGUGGCGAGGAGGGCACUCUGCACCUUGUCGGAAACGCCCACAUUAAACGCUGAAUAAACCAUAACAUCCUGCCCCCCGCGGCCCACCAGGAGCGCUCCGAGCUUCCCCUCGGCCCCUUCUGUCCCCCCGUUCCAUCCAUCCAUCCAACCAUCUCCUUCCUUCUCUUUCCCCCCUCACAGCGCCUUUCGUAGGACCGCAUCUGUGCGGGGGGUCACGGCGCAUGUGGUCGUCUCGCUCGGACCCUUAAAGUGGGGGAGGGGGGUUUCCAUUCCAACGACUUCCUGUUCCCUGUGAUGUCAUCAUGGGAGGAAAGGGGCACUUAAGUGGAGGAUGCAAACACUCAUUUCCUGUCGUGUGCCAGACUUGAUUGAACAAUGCGGGCAGGUGUGUGUGUGUGUGUGUGUGUGUGUGUGUACGUGUGUGUAUACGUGUGAUUAUACUGCUUCGCAAUCCCCAUAGAGGAAACAUCACAUUUCUGGAACACGAGAUGGAGAAAUUAUUUUACGAUCCCACUACCCUUGUUACGCCCAGAAAAGGGUGUGAGGAAAAGAAUCUACUCGCAAGUCUUAAAAUAAAUAAAUAAAUUAAUAAAAAUUUUAAAAAACA